CAGGUAAAACUUUGUUAUCUUUGGUGGAAUAGAUGGUUAUUCAAGAAAGAUUAUGUACCUAAAGGUUUCAAACAACAACCGCUCCGACACCCAUUUGGCAUUUUUCAGAGAGGCUGUGAAUACACACGGGUUUCCACAGAGAGUAAGAGGCGAUCAUGGAGGUGAAAAUGUGGGGAUUGCAGAACUUAUGUUUUCAGUUCGUGGCACUGAUGACAACAGCUUCAUUGCUGGCAAAAGUGUUCACAAUCAGAGAAUAGAACGUCUCUGGCGUGAUGUAUUUGUAAGUGUGACAAGUGUCUACUACAACAUUCUGCACACAUUGGAGGACAAUCACCUGCUGGAUAUAAGCAACUCCUUGCAUUUAUUCUGCUGCCAUUAUGUGUUUCUGCCGCGCAUCCAGGCCAGCUUGGAUGCCUU